UGAGGAAUAUUGGUCAAUGGACGAGAGUCUGAACCAGCCAAGUAGCGUGAAGGAUGACUGCCCUAUGGGUUGUAAACUUCUUUUAUACGGGAAUAAAGUGCAGUAUGUAUACUGUUUUGUAUGUACCGUAUGAAUAAGGAUCGGCUAACUCCGUGCCAGCAGCCGCGGUAAUACGGAGGAUCCGAGCGUUAUCCGGAUUUAUUGGGUUUAAAGGGAGCGUAGGCGGAUGCUUAAGUCAGUUGUGAAAGUUUGCGGCUCAACCGUAAAAUUGCAGUUGAAACUGGCAGUCUUGAGUACAGUAGAGGUGGGCGGAAUUCGUGGUGUAGCGGUGAAAUGCUUAGAUAUCACGAAGAACUCCGAUUGCGAAGGCAGCUUACUAAACCAUAACUGACACUGAAGCACGAAAGCGUGGGGAUCAAACAGGAUUAGAUACC
rnacentral:rRNA from 1 species